rnacentral:rRNA from 1 species
AUUGAACGCUGGCGGCAUGCCUUACACAUGCAAGUCGAACGGCAGCGGACCUUCGGGUGCCGGCGAGUGGCGAACGGGUGAGUAAUAUAUCGGAACGUACCUUUCAGUGGGGGAUAACGUAGCGAAAGUUACGCUAAUACCGCAUAUUCUGUGAGCAGGAAAGCAGGGGAUCGCAAGACCUUGCGCUGAUUGAGCGGCCGAUAUCAGAUUAGCUAGUUGGUGAGGUAAAGGACUCGACCAAGGCGACGAUCUGUAGCGGGUCUGAGAGGAUGAUCCGCCACACUGGAACUGAGACACGGUCCAGACUCCUACGGGAGGCAGCAGUGGGGAAUUUUGGACAAUGGGGGCAACCCUGAUCCAGCCAUGCCGCGUGAGUGAAGAAGGCCUCGGUUGUAAG